AUUGAACGCUGGCGGCAGGCCUAACACAUGCAAGUCGAGCGGGGUGAGGUACUUCGGUACUGAUCCUAGCGGCGGACGGGUGAGUAAUGCUCAGGAAUCUGCCAUUUAGUGGGGGACAACAUUCCGAAAGGGAUGCUAAUACCGCAUACGUCCUACGGGAGAAAGCAGGGGAUCUUCGGACCUUGCGCUAAAUGAUGAGCCUAAGUCGGAUUAGCUAGUUGGUGGGGUAAAGGCCUACCAAGGCGACGAUCUGUAGCGGGUCUGAGAGGAUGAUCCGCCACACUGGGACUGAGACACGGCCCAGACUCCUACGGGAGGCAGCAGUGGGGAAUAUUGGACAAUGGGCGGAAGCCUGAUCCAGCCAUGCCGCGUGUGUGAAGAAGGCCUUUUGGUUGUAAAGCACUUUAAGCGAGGAGGAGGCUACCUAGAUUAAUACUCUGGGAUAGUGGACGUUACUCGCAGAAUAAGCACCGGCUAACUCUGUGCCAGCCGCCGCAGUAA
rnacentral:rRNA from 1 species